UACGUAGGGUGCAAGCGUUGUCCGGAAUCAUUGGGCGUAAAGCGCGCGUAGGUGGCUUCGUAAGUCCGUUGUGAAAGUCAAAGGCUCAACCUUUGAAAGCCGAUGGAUACUGCGAGGCUAGAGUCGGGAAGAGGCGAGUGGAAUUCCUGGUGUAGCGGUGGAAUGCGCAGAUAUCAGGAGGAACACCAAUAGCGAAGGCAGCUCGCUGGGACGUACUGACGCUAAGGCGCGAAAGCGUGGGGAGCGAACAGGAUUAGA
rnacentral:rRNA from 1 species